AUUGAACGCUGGCGGAAUGCUUUACACAUGCAAGUCGAACGGCAGCACGGACUUCGGUCUGGUGGCGAGUGGCGAACGGGUGAGUAAUGUAUCGGAACGUGCCCAGUCGUGGGGGAUAACGUAGUGAAAAUUACGCUAAUACCGCAUACGAUCUAUGGAUGAAAGCGGGGGAUCGCAAGACCUCGCGCGAUUGGAGCGGCCGAUAUCAGAUUAGGUAGUUGGUGGGGUAAAGGCCCACCAAGCCAACGAUCUGUAGCUGGUCUGAGAGGACGACCAGCCACUGGAACUGAGACACGGUCCAGACUCCUACGGGAGGCAGCAGUGGGGAAUUUUGGACAAUGGGCGAAAGCCUGAUCCAGCCAUUCCGCGUGCAGGAUGUAGGCCCUCGGGUUGUAAACUGCUUUUGUACAGAACGAAAAGGUUUCUACUAAUACUAGGAGCUCAUGACGGUACUGUAAGAAUAAGCACCGGCUAACUACGUGCCAGCCGCCGCAGUAA
rnacentral:rRNA from 1 species